rnacentral:rRNA from 1 species
AUUGAACGCUGGCGGCAUGCCUUACACAUGCAAGUCGAACGGUAACGGGCCUUCGGGUGCCGACGAGUGGCGAACGGGUGAGCAAUGUAUCGGAACGUACCUUUCAGUGGGGGAUAACGUAGCGAAAGUUACGCUAAUACCGCAUAUUCUGUGAGCAGGAAAGCAGGGGAUCGCAAGACCUUGCGCUGAUUGAGCGGCCGAUAUCAGAUUGGCUAGUUGGUGAGGUAAAGGCUCACCGAGGCGACGAUCUGUAGCGGGUCUGAGAGGAUGAUCCGCCACACUGGAACUGAGACACGGUCCAGACUCCUACGGGAGGCAGCAGUGGGGAAUUUUGGACAAUGGGGGCAACCCUGAUCCAGCCGUGCCGCGUGAGUGAAGAAGGCCUUCGGGUUGUAAAGCUCUUUCGGCCGGGAAGAAAUCGUAUGGGUUAAUACCCUGUGCGGAUGACGGUACCGGCAUAAGAAGCACCGGCUAACUACGUGCCAGCAGCCGCCGUAACAC